rnacentral:pre_miRNA from 1 species
UCUUCAUUUCUCGCGCUCUCUCACAGAGUGUCGAGAGAGUGUGGGAAAUGAAGAGA